AAGUCGUAACAAGGUUUCCGUAGGUGAACCUGCGGAAGGAUCAUUAAAGAAUCGCCCCGUUUUUUAUAGAUGGGUUCUAUUCCCAAACCGUGUAUACAUACCUUUGUUGCUUUGGCAGGCCGCCUCCGGGCGUCGGCUUCGGCUGAUUAGUGCCUGCCAGAGGACCCAAACUCGUUUGUUUAGUGAUGUCUGAGUACUAUAUAAUAGUUAAAACUUUCAACAACGGAUCUCUUGGUUCUG
rnacentral:misc_RNA from 1 species